ensembl:miRNA Gm23086 predicted gene, 23086
NNNGUGUAUAUAUAUAUAUGUGUGUGUGUAUAUAUAUAUAUAUAUAUACACACACACACACACACACACACACACACACACACAUAUAU